rnacentral:rRNA from 1 species
CCUACGGUGUGCAGCAGUGAGGAAUAUUGGUCAAUGGUCGGGAGACUGAACCAGCCAAGCCGCGUGAGGGAGGAAGGUACAGAGUAUCGUAAACCUCUUUUGCCGGGGAGCAAAAAGCGGUACGUGUACCGCAUCGAGAGUACCCGGAGAAAAAGCAUCGGCUAACUCCGUGCCAGCAGCCGCGGUAAUACGGAGGAUGCGAGCGUUAUCCGGAUUUAUUGGGUUUAAAGGGUGCGCAGGCGGCGAGUUAAGUCAGCGGUAAAAUUUCGGGGCUCAACCCCGACAAGCCGUUGAAACUGGCUUGCUAGAGUGGGCGAGAAGUAUGCGGAAUGCGUGGUGUAGCGGUGAAAUGCAUAGAUAUCACGCAGAACUCCGAUUGCGAAGGCAGCAUACCGGCGCCCAACUGACGCUCAGGCACGAAAGCGUGGGUAUCGAACAGGAUUAGAUACCCCUGUAGUC